AACACUCCGUAGCCAAUAACUUAGGCUCAGGCAAGGAUCUCAGUGAAGUAGUAAUUUAUUCACGAUUGCAAUGGCGGGCGUCCCACAAGCAGGAGCACACCUACUAGUCACACAGUACGGUUUAUAUGCUUUCUUUCUCGACGAUCGGAACCCUCCCCUGUUUCCCCAUUGACUGGGUAAUCCAGGCUGUCUGGCGAUGAUAACCCACUAAAGGAUUGUUUCAUCCGAGUGGCGGUGUCCAAGUCAAACGCUGGCAACAGGCAGGGAAACCCAAACCUGUUGAGGCAUACUUCUGCCGAGGCACGAGGAAUUGGAGCGACAGCCCGUAGGGGCGGGAGGCGGGGGACACACUCUGCCUGAGCAUAACAAGUCCAUGGGCUGUGCCUGUGAUGGAAGACCACGACUGUGAUUGUGAUAGCUGGAAGUUUGUGGGCUGUGAUGCUGAUCCUGGUCAGAGCAGGCCUGGGGCUGCGCUCUUUGGAGUGGUGCCUCAUCAGAUUAGCCACACGGCUACUGUAUGUGAUGCUCAACCCGGACAGACAGGCCUGCCAGGCAGAAACUGCUCAGGCAGAUGAUGCUGGGGAGGACAAAAAUUAUCCACCGCAAGACUAAGAAGACAGAUGACACCCAGCAGGAACAGCGAGCCAAAUCUGCAGAAUCUACAAUACAGCUGGCUAGCCCUAGGCUACCUGCCUCUUUGAAGUGGAAGAGACAUCACCGACGAGCUGUCAAAUUAGAUCACCAGCCUGGAAACGCUGAAAGAGAUUUAGUUCUUCCAACAGAGGAUGGAAAGUUUAAUAGACGAAAAUCUUCCUAAAGGGGCCAAGGUAAUGUGGGAGGGGAAGGGGGAAUCCUUAACAUGCAACAACAAUGAAAAAUUACUAGCCUCCCUCCUGCCUGCACGAGGAAAGAUGAGGUUGGCUGCGUUAUACGGCAGCGGGAAUUACUGUAGUCACUACCAGCACAGGAAAUAAGGUCAAUGCCUGCAGGAACGUGCAUACAGCAGCAACAAGUAACCGUUUCUACAAAAUCAAAUUCCCUCCCAAAUCUGUGAUAUCUCUAUAUGUCACCCUAGAGCUGGGGUCUAAAGUACUAUAAAUCUAAUAUUCAAAAUAUUCAAGACAUGCAGCAGAGGGAUAAAAAGACCCAGUCUGGCUCUAAAAGCUCAGUGCAACAGAGGCACAUGAUGGCAAAUCCCCCUGCAUUUCUUUUGCAAUAAUAUUCAUGGACAAAAAGCGUGAGGAAUGCAAUUCAGUUUCAAUAAAUCAAGAACAAAAAUUAAGAUUACGAAGUGCAUAAGCAUGUGCUCAGGUGUAUGGUGAAAAUGAAACCUGGUGUUUCCAUUAGGAAUAGCAGCAGCACAAUCUAAUUAUAGAUUCAAAGAAGAAAUAUCGCUCUUUGGGGGAAAAUAUUAAAUGUAGUAAUCCAUUAAACAGCUCCAUCACUGCCAUCGUACAUUGAAGUUAAAGACCAUGAAAUACACCAAAGAUUAAAAGAAAAGAUGAAAUUGAAAACCAAAAGGAAAAAAAGCCACCAAUAGGCCUAAAGAUCCCCCCUCAAUUUCAACUCAAGGAUUUUUGUUGUUGUUGUAUUGCUAAAUAGGUUUUGUACACAUGUAUAAUUAUAAAAUCAAUUUAUAGUCAUACCAAGGAAAUUUACUUGGAGAAAAAUCAUGAUAAUCUCUCUAUUGCCUGCUUCAGCAUUCCUGUUGCAGACAAACCACAGAGAUGCAAACAGAUGAUGCUAGACAACAGUGUAUAAACUGGAUCUCUAAAUAUGAGAACUUACACUGGAUUCCUUGAUAAUUUUAUAGGUUUAUCUAUUCCUUAUUUCGCUCAGCUAAUGCCUUUGCAAGUACCUCAUCUCACUCUUUUCCAAAGCCACAGCAAUGAGGAGCAAUUUUGAUCAUCUGUUGCUUUUUAACCAAGAGAAUAAAGAUGCCCAAGUUUUAGAUCAAUCUUUACUCUGGUGCUACUUUAGUGUAUUUUAUUUCAUGGACGGAACCAUGUUAACACUUCAAAGUCACGUUUUCAUAUAAAAUAGCUAGUACACACAAGCAUCCUCUUUGAAUUACAAAGCACUCACGUUCAUCUUAAACCUUAGUUUCAAUUCCCUGCUACUAACUCAGGAUCCACACCCAUGCUGAUGUGUCUAGAUUACUCUUCUAUCAGCUAUAAUUAAAAUAAACCACUCUAAUCUUUCUCUCUCUGUGUGAGAGAGACAGACAGGGAAGUCGAAGAAUUAUUUUGUCAAGAUAUUCCAACGAGUUAUGAUAUCUGUUGGGAAGUUUAAGAUGUACCUUACGUACUUAAAAUAAGUUCUGUACACAUGUAAAAUUAAAAAUCAGUUUAUAGUCAUACCAAUGAACUUUACUUUGAGAAAAAUCAUGAUAAUCUCUUUAUUGCCUGCUUAUACAAAAUUUGCUCAUACUUAAGGCACCCAUUUCUAGGGCUAUAUUCUUUCAAAGUACCAGAUGCUAUUAAGAAAUUCCUCGGAAAAGAUCUACCUCAAUUUAAAAAUACUUAGAAGAGGGUGGAGCAGGUAGACUAUACAGAAGGGCUACAAGCGGAAAAAAAAAAAAAAAAAAAGAUGAAAAGGAUUUGAAAAUAUCACCUCUUACAGGCAAACAGCUAGGACAUGUCAGAGUUCAGUAAUUGUACUUUCUACCCAAAGAAUCACUGGCAAUUCAACAAUUCACUGGCUCUUGAAAGCAACUGUCUACUAGUGGUGGGCAGCAAAGAAAGUUAACAAAAUUUGUUUGCUUUGGCUGUUCCAGCUGUUAACCAGAAGUGAUACUUACAUAAACUGGAUUCUGUGUGGAAAACUGGGAUGCUGGUAGGAAGACCAUUGAUGACACAAAAAGAACUUAACAAAAAGCGUGUCACACAUUCAAGCUAUUAUCAAAAAUGUUUCUAGAGUUUUGAUGCUGUAAAGUUUACAUUUCUGUUCCAUCUGAAUGCUCAGGUUUUCUUAGUACCCUGGUCUACACUGGAACUAAUUUUUUUUUUUUUUUUCAGUGUAACGCAGACUCUGAAUUUCUCAAUCCUACACACUCUUCUCUGAUCUUCCUAUAUUAAAUCUGGAUUUUUCUAUAAAUCACUGUUGCCCAAUUGUAAGUCUGCAAGAGCUGCCCCUAGAGACUUCUGAAGCCAAACUGAACACCGACAUCUCACUUGAAAGUGAAGUUACUCAUCCAAAGACAGCUAAAAAUCAUCAGCACAUUUCUAAUAUAUCCACACUUGAACGUUUCAACCUGGCUUGUCAGCAAGCGGUGGUCAUCUUGGGAUGAAGGGGAGAAAGACAAGACAAAGAGUUAAGUGUAAGGUUUCACUGAACACUUACAAUUAUCAUAUUUAUUUCACUGUUGAAUUCUUCUUGCUGCUGAAAGGUUGUCAUGCAGUACUAUCUCACCAUAUGGCAACAACCUCAAGUCCUAGAGGCACAUACUUAAAAGACCAUAACAUGUCAGGCCCCUUGAAUAAAUUAGAUAGAACGAUUAUGCAAAAUAAUAAUACUGCCAUGAUGAGAUACAUUAACAAAUGAGAGUGUCAUUGCUCAUGAAAUGCCAUGAAAAUAAAUUCCACACAUCACCGUGGCCAUCAUCAUCAUCAAACUGUGAAGCAACAAAAGUAAAACAUCACAGUAUUUACUGUGCCCUUCAGCAACUGAAAUUUUCUGAAAGGAGAAGGGGUUGCAAGUGAAGAAAGUCACUUUUUACUAAUAUCCAGUGGAAUUAUGUAGUGGAUGUAUGUGGCAAGGUUUUGGUAGCAGGGGGCCAUAGGAGUGGCUUCUGUGAUAAGAAUCUAGAAGCCGCCCCAUGUUAGGUAAGGGUCCCGCUGCUGACCAGAGCCGAGUCAAUAAGCGAUGUUGUUUCAUGCCUCUGUGAGAGCAUAUUUAAGACAGGGAGAGGAAAAAAAAAAAAAGACUGACCACAACCCACAUUCCCCCACGCUGCUUGGGGGAAGGAGGUGGAAGAUGGCAAAUGGGGGGAAGGUUCUUUCGAUUUUUUUUCCUUUGUUUCUCACUUCUCUAACUUGUUAGUAAUAGGUAAUAAAUCUUACUAUCUCCCUAUGCCGAGUCUGUUUUGCCUGUCACGAUAAUUGUUGAGAGAUCUCCCCGUCCUUAUCUCAACCCUUAUCCCUUUUCAUUGUAUUUUCUCCCCAUUCCUCUUUGAGGAGGGGGAGUGAGAGCGCGAUUGUGGUGGAGCUCGGCCACCCACCUGAGUAAAACCACCACAGUCCUUUUUGGAACCCAACAUGGGGCUCGAGGAACUUGAGAUAAGGUUGAUAGCUGAGAGAAGUAAUGGGCAAAACAUGGACUGGAUGUUUUUUUUAUGAAUGUAACAGUUGUGAAGAAUUCAAAAAAGUCAUAAUUGUGAGGAAUAUGUUUCAUGUUAGUGUGGUGAAGGGAUGAGGGGUGGUGUGUGUGUAAAUUGUCCACCUCGUCGGUGUUGUGAUGAUGUUAUGCUUAUUUUGGUGUGGGGAAUUCUUUUUCUUUUUGAUGUAAGUGAACUUUGUGAAGAUUGUGAUGACUGUAAAGUAAGAACAUAUUGUGAUUGUUCUUAAAUAUGCUUUUCACAGAAGUGAGGGGUGGCAGUUGUGGUGGAGCUCGGCCAUCCACCCGAGUAAAACUACCAAAGUACAGUAAACAGAAAAUACAGAAACAGAGAACUGAGCUUUUUGUUUGUUUUUAAAUAAAAUAGCAAGAUAUUUACUCAUGUACUCUUUAAACAGCCCAUGAGCAUUAAUUUAACAGAUCUGAAGUACACUAUCUCUCAUCUGUAAAUAAUUUGAAGUUUCAUCCUUAAAAAUGUAUGUCGCAUCUCAGGCUGAGGUACAUUUAUACUGAUUUUUCAUUUUAAAAAUGUUUAGUUGUCCUUACUGAUCAAAAGGUAUUAAGCAGAAAGUGGGAGUGUGGAAAAAAAAUCACUAUCAUCUGGUUUUCCCAGUCUUCUCUCUGAAGCAGUCUCAAUUCAUCCUUCUUUGCUUUUAACCCUCUCUGCCUCUUCACAAAAAUUUUGUCCCCUACAUAAAGUGUUCAAGUUAACAAUAUGGCAAUGACCAAAUGCCUUUUAGAUGGUAUAGAGUUAAAUUUCACUAAUCACUUCUAAACUUUUCAUGUUAUUUGUUUCCACCCCCCCCCCCCACUUUAACAUCAAUCAACUCUUCUAUUUUAAACCAGAGAAAAUAAAACUGGCACAAGAGGCUAAGGGAUACUACAGUCACAGCAUGUAGCUACCUUAAGAAAUCUUAAUGCUUGGAAACAGCAGCUGUUUGGGAUAAAACAAAAACAAAAAGCCACCUCGUUCUCUAUACACCAUCCCUACAAAACUUAUCCGAGAAGAUGACAGUAUUGCUUCCAGUUGUAAGUUGGAAACAACAAAAAAAAAAGCAAGCUCACAAUAGUUUGAAUGAACUGGGAAUCAAUAGCACAAGUAAUGACAGUAAAAACCUGAAGCCCCCGGGCAGUAAACCAUAAAAAGAUGAGCACAUGAAGCUUCUAAUAAUUGCACCUUAUUCCAGUGUACAUGUCCGCACAAUCCUCAGACAGAUCUUAAUUAUGAAGAUCUCACUGAGAACUUAAGCAUAGAAGGCCUGCUUCUAAAUAGCAAGGAACAAAAGUAACUAUCAACAGAAACUGUAGAAGCUGAGAAUUAAGCUUCCUGGAAAAUUAUAACCCUUUCAAACCAAAUGAGAGUUUUUUUUUUUUUAAAUCAAUAUAAAACAUUCCUAAAAGUAACUCCAUGUGCCUGUAAACCCUUUAUAAGUAGUCAUGUAUAUUCAGAAAAUACCUGUAAGAGCCUGAAAUUUUCAGGUUAAGCCUACUGGUGACUUGUGCAACUUCUUUUUGUCCUCAUCUAUUAGGAUAUAUUUUAAUUAUCUUGCCUCGUUAACUACUUGCUUCUUAAAACCUUGAAGAAUUCAGAUCUCUGUCUACCUUAUUGCGUGUAGCACACAAAUUAAGAGAAAAGAAUGUACACAUAGUAGAGUCACAGUUUCUAUGACUGUUCAGCAAACACCUUCUAACAUACAAGUUUAUCAAUUAAAUACUUUUGUAUUUUUUCAGUGCUUUAAGAAAAUGUUAACUGAAUUGUGGAAAACGUAGUUACCCAAUCCAGAUACACAUCUUAGAGCACUGUUAACAUUUUGAAAUUCAUUAUGAAAAAAAGACCAUGGUUCUAGGGUGAAGUGACCUGUGAAGUGUUUGAUUCAGCAAUAGUGUCCUUGGUUUUAAAAUAAACUUCUGCAAAUUGAAUUUACCACUCAUUACCUUGCAUGUUUUUCCCCCACCUCUUUCUUUUUAGGAUCUUGUAAUUUUACUUACAUGGAAAUAGCAUAGAAGCAAGGCAUGCACAAUCUUUGAAAUAAAAUGCUUCUAGGGUCUAAGCAGAGGUCCAUAAUAUCAUGAAACGAAGUAAAAAGUCAACUAAGAUUUUACGUGCCUUUUUUUUUUUAAUAAACUAAAAAGUUUCACAGCCAAAUUAAGACUACAGUUUCAAAAUAAUUUAUUCAGUCACUUAAAUACUUUGUAACAUUUGCAUGUUCCCUUUUUCACAUCCUUGGCACACAAUAUAGCUCUUAACUUUUACAAAACUAGUGUAAACAUUCACGGAAAAUAAAAUGGAAAAGGGGGACGUGCAUAAAUUCAAUAAAUAGUGAAAAAUCAAAGGAAAAUAGCUAAUUUGUUCCUAUAAAGGCCAUGCAAUUACAGUUGAAUGUUUAAUUGAAAAAACAUUUCUUUUUU